rnacentral:lncRNA from 1 species
UUUGCAUUUUUAUACGACCGCAAAAUUUGAAAAAAUUUUCGUCAUAUAUUGCUAUCACGUUGGCGUCGUCGUCGUCGUCGUCCGAAUACUUUUAGUUUUCGCACUCUAACUUUAGUAAAAGUGAAUGGAAAUCUAUGAAAUUUUAACACAAGGUUUAUGACCACAAAAGGAAGGUUGGUAUUGAUUUUGGGAGUUUUGGUCCCAACAUUUUAGGAAUUAGGGGCCAAAAAGGGCCCAAAUAAGCAUUUUCUUGGUUUUCGCACUAUAACUUUAGUUUAAGUUAAUAGAAAUCUAUGAAAUUUUGACACAAGGUUUAUGACCACAAAAGAACGGUUGGGAUUGAUUUUGGGAGUUUUGGUUUCAACAGUUUAGGAAUUAGGGGCCAAAAAAAGGGCCCAAAUAAGCAUUAUUCUUGGUUUUCGCACAAUAACUUUAGUUUAAGUAAAUAGAAAUCAAUGAAAUUUAAACACAAUGUUAAUGUCUACAAAAGGAAGGUUGGUAUUGAUUUUGGGAGUUUAGGUCCCAACAGUUUAGGAAUUAGGGGCCAAAAAGGGACCCAAAUAAGCAUUUUUCUUGGUUUUCGCACCAUAACGUUAGUAUAAGUAAAUAGAAAUCUAUGAAAUUUAAACACAAGGUUUAUGACCAUAAAAGGAAGGUUGGUAUUGAUUUUUGGAGUUUUGGUCCCAACAGAAUAAGGGGCCCAAAGGGUCCAAAAUUAAACUUUUUUUUGUUUGAUUUCAUCAAAAUUGAAUAAUUGGGGUUCUUUGAUAUGCCGAAUCUAACUGUCAUGACUGUGUAUGUAGAUUCUUAACUUUUGGUCCCGUUUUCAAAUUGGUCUACAUUAAGGUCCAAAGGGUCCAAAAUUAAACUUAGUUUGAUUUUUGACAAAAAAUGAAUCAGUUAGGUUCUUUGAUAUGCUGAAUCUAAAAAUGUACUUAGAUUUUUGAUUAUUGGCCCAGUUUUCAAGUUGGUCCAAAUCGGGGUCCAAAA